GCCUGAGUCUAAAGGCUCCCUCUUUGGGAUAAAGACAAAUGGUGACGCCUGCCUGGGGGCUGCAACCCCUCCUGCAUGAAGCUGGGACCCUGAACUACGCCCUCUGGGUGGGUCAGAGAAAAUCCACUCUCUGAGGCGGAGCGGACUCUACCUACCAGCCUCAGCUGGUGGAGAACUGUGGCGCUGGUGGCAGGGAACAAAAUGAACAGUUCCCUCUGAGAAGUCCUGACCACAAGCCGGUCCUCUUGUGGGCUUAGAACGAGGAGGAUUCACACUACAAACGUAAACAUUUCAUUUAAAGUGGUCUGGAUAAGGAGCCUGUUGUAUGCUUGGCAGAAGAAAAUUGUCUCAGCAGGAACGCUGAGCCUCAGUUAAAAAUAACUCCCUUGGGACGCCAUAGCAACAUUGUGAGUCGCUGGGAACUCGCCUAAUCAGACCUCUGCAAACAGGCAGGUCUGCGGACGCCAUAGCAACGGCCUGAGUCGCGCAGAACGCGCCGAAUCAGAACGCGCCGAAUCAGCCCACGCCCCAGCAGCAAUCCACGGGACCCCCCCCCCCCCCACACACACCCUCCACUGUACAGCCAUCUGGUUCCACACUACAAAGACGCAGAGGACACCGGACCACCAGACCACUGUACUGGACACAGAUUUAUAUGAAUAUGGAUCUGGCAGGCUGACAUUGCAGAUCGACAGAGAUGGGAGGAAUCAUCCCCUAAAUGCUGCUGAGAUAACCAGAUCCACAUAUUGAAGAAAGGAUCCUUAACAGACCCCAUGCACAGCAAUCAUUUCCAUAUGAACCAAGGACUGAACUAUAACAGAUAAAACUUUGAAAGUUUUAGGAGAAUACACAGACAUCUUUAUGAUUUCAGGAAGAUAGAAUUUCCUAAACAAGACAAUAGGAGCCCAAGCCAAAGGCAAACCUUCAACUUGACUAAAAGCAAAAACAUCUUUUGUUAAGAGACAUGAUAAAGAAUGUAGAACUUUGUGCCAUAAACCAGGAGAAGACGAAAAUAUGCCUUCAGUGUAUAACCAGUCAACAUGAUAAUAACAAACAAAUACAGAAAAGGAGCAAGGACAUGAUACCUUUUUUUUUUUUGGUACUGAAAAUUUAACCCAGGGAGCAUUGAGCUAUAUCCCUAGCCCUUUUUAUUUUUUUUAUUUUGAGACAGGGUCUUGCUGUGUAGCCCAGGCUGGCCUCGAGUUUGCAAUCCUGCAUUAGACUCCCAAG
rnacentral:lncRNA from 1 species